rnacentral:rRNA from 1 species
UACGUAGGGUGCGAGCGUUAAUCGGAAUUACUGGGCGUAAAGUGUGCGCAGGCGGCCGAGCAAGUCGAGUGUGAAAGCCCCGAGCUUAACUUGGGAACUGCGCUCGAAACUACUUGGCUAGAGUGUGGCAGAGGGAGGUGGAACUCCACGUGUAGCGGUGAAAUGCGUAGAGAUGUGGAGGAACACCGAUGGCGAAGGCAGCCUCCUGGGCCAACACUGACGCUCAUGCACGAAAGCGUGGGGAGCAAACAGG